rnacentral:rRNA from 1 species
GGCGUGCUUAACACAUGCAAGUCGAACGCGAACGUUUCCUUCGGGGAACUAGUAGAGUGGCGCACGGGUGAGUAACGCGUAAGUAAUCUACCCUCGCAUCCGGGAUAACCCACCGAAAGGUGUGCUAAUACCUGAUACGUCUGGACUUAUACAUUGAAUUCAGAGAAAGGUGGCCUCUUCAUGAAAGCUACUGUGCGGGGAGGAGCUUGCGUACCAUUAGCUAGUUGGUAGGGUAACGGCCUACCAAGGCGAUGAUGGUUAGCGGGUCUGAGAGGAUGAUCCGCCACACUGGAACUGAAACACGGACCAGACUCCUACGGGAGGCAGCAGUGAGGAAUAUUGCGCAAUGGGGGCAACCCUGAUGCAGCGACGCCGCGUGGAUGAUGAAGGCCUUCGGGUUGUAAAAUCCUGUCAGAUGGGAAGAAGUGACAGUUAGCCAAUACCUGACUGUUUUGACGGUACCAUCAAAGGAAGCACCGGCUAACUCCGUGCCAGCAGCCGCGGUAAUACUGAGGGUGCAAGCGUUAAUCGGAAUUACUGGGCGUAAAGGGAGUGUAGGCGGUUAUCUAAGUCGGAUGUGAAAGCCCUGGGCUCAACCUGGGAAUGGCAUUCGAUACUGGGUAACUAGAGUUUGGUAGAGGUAAGUGGAAUUCCGGGUGUAGCGGUGAAAUGCGUAAAUAUCCGGAGGAACA